rnacentral:misc_RNA from 1 species
GGAUCUGAGGCAGAGGC